UACGAAGGGCCCGAGCGUAGCGCGGAUUCACUAGGGCUUAAAGGGUGCGUAGGCGGACUCGCAAGUGUUUUGUGAAAUCCCAGGGCUCAACCCUGGAAUUGCUUAACAUACUGCGUGUCUUGAGGUCGGCAGAGGUCGUCGGAACUCUAGGUGGAGCGGUGAACUGCGUAGAUAUCUAGAGGAACGCCAAAGGUGAAAACAGACGUCUGGGCCGAUUCUGACGCUGAGGCACGAAAGCGUGGGUAGCGAACGGG
rnacentral:rRNA from 1 species